UACGUAGGGUGCAAGCGUUGUCCGGAAUUAUUGGGCGUAAAGAGCUCGUAGGCGGUCUGUCGCGUCUGCUGUGAAAACCCAGGGCUUAACCCUGGGCUGGCUUCCGAUACGGGCAGACUAGAGGUAUGCAGGGGAGAACGGAAUUCCUGGUGUAGCGGUGAAAUGCGUAGAUAUCCGGAGGAACACCAGUGGCGAAGGCGGCUUCCUGGACCGACACUGACGCUGAG
rnacentral:rRNA from 1 species